rnacentral:rRNA from 1 species
CCCUUAGAUGUCCUGGGCCGCACGCGUGCUACACUGACGCCUACAGCGAGUACUUCCCAGCCCCGAGAGGUGGCUGGUAAUCAGCAAUAGGCGUCGUGAUGGGGAUAGAUCUUUGGAAUUAUGGAUCUUGAACGAGGAAUGCCUAGUAAGCGCAGGUCAUUAGCCUGCGCUGAUUAAGUCCCUGCCCUUUGUACACACCGCCCGUCGCUCCUACCGAUUCCGAGUGGUCCGGUGAAUCUUUCGGACUGCGCGCGGCCUCGUGCCGUGUCGCGGAAAGUCAGGUAAACCUUAUCACUUAGAGGAAGGAGAAGUCGUAACA